GGGGAUCUGAGGCACACAGCUGUUAAAUAACUUGCCCAAGACCAUCUCUAGAAUGUGGAAGGCUCAGGAUUUGAAUCCAGGCAAUGUGGCUUCAGAGUUCGAGCUCUUAACUGCUCUGCUGUAUUUCAUCUUCUCCAGGCAUUGUCCUUUUUCCUCCCUGAAUACAUUUAAAUUAACAGCUCACACGCAUAUCUUCACGUUUGUCUGGCAUAUUCCUUCAUGUUUGACUUCCUUUCCGGAGUAACCGAUUGUCAGG